rnacentral:rRNA from 1 species
CCUACGGGAGGCAGCAGCGGGGAAUAUUGGACAAUGGGGGCAACCCUGAUCCAGCCAUGCCGCGUGAGUGAUGAAGGCCCUAGGGUUGUAAAGCUCUUUUGUGCGGGAAGAUAAUGACGGUACCGCAAGAAUAAGCCCCGGCUAACUUCGUGCCAGCAGCCGCGGUAAU